CUGUGGAUACAAAUUAUACAUUAAGCUGUACCACAUCAUCUAUAGAUAUAUCUCUAUUGUAGAUAGAUAUAGCAACCUUUAGAUGUGUCACUCCAUGUAUAUAAACCAGACAUAACAAGGCAUAUGCAUACUUGCGCACAAGUUCAACAAAUAUACCACCAAUAUUGAUCUUCCCCACUUUCCACUCAUACUCAUCAAGACAAUGCAGACUGAGUGCACUGCUCUUUGCAUUGUAUUGGUUAUUAUGUCUUCAACCCUCCCAUCCUGCUAUCUUCGUAAGUAUAUAACUUAUUUCGUACUCAAACUAAUUCCACUCAUGUGUGGUUUCUAAAGUCAAAUUGUGGAUGCAUGCAGUUCCGGUCACAUUUAAUUUCAAUUUACCUGGAUGCACUGAAGGGCUUUGCCAUGCAACAUGCCAAUAAGUAUAAUAACCAAGUGGUAAAGAUCUCCCAUUGUGAUAAGCCCAAUAUUUGCCACUGUGAGUUUUCUUCCAAGAAGCAUCCGUGGCUUACCACCGAAGCCAGGGGAUUAGCUGAUGCAGAAGACCAUAAUGGACCUUUUGUUUGAAUUUAAUAUACAAGAUUAACGAUGGAUAGGAUGGUUACAUGGAGGCAGACAAUACCAUAUUGCUAGCUCUAGCAUGUAAUUUAUCCAUGACCUGUUUCCUUUCAAGGUGUAAUAAAAUAAUUGUGCACCUUUCCUAUGCUUUUGUUCCACCCAAUGUAUUUGAUCCACCAUACAGAUUUCAUGCCAUGAUAUGAUGACGAUUUGAUCCCCAAUAGCAAUGGGACCAGGGCGAAAACUUUGGGCGUGGGCUUAGCCUCCCAUGCCUGACACCCUGGUUUUAGGAUGUCAGUCAUGAACAACAGCG
rnacentral:lncRNA from 1 species